rnacentral:rRNA from 5 species
GACCUCGGAUCAGGUAGGGAUACCCGCUGAACUUAAGCA